rnacentral:rRNA from 1 species
CAAUAGCGUAUAUUUAAGUUGUUGCAGUUAAAGAGCUCGUAGUUGGAUUUCGGUUAAGAGCGACCGGUCCGCCGUUUGGUGUGCACUGGUUGGUUUUAACUUCCUGUAGAGGACGUGCUCUGGGUUUAACGACCUGGACUCGGAGUCUACGUGGUUACUUUGAAAAAAUUAGAGUGUUCAAAGCGGGCUUACGCUUGAAUAUUUCAGCAUGGAAUAACACUAUAGGACUCCUGUCCUAUUUCGUUGGUCUCGGGACGGGAGUAAUGAUUAAGAGGAACAGUUGGGGGCAUUCGUAUUUCAUUGUCAGAGGUGAAAUUCUUGGAUUUAUGAAAGACGAACUUCUGCGAAAGCAUUUGCCAAGGAUGUUUUCAUUA